CCUCUUCACUCCAACUGCAGCUCUCGAAGCUUAGCCUAGGGCUUUGGCACACCUACACUCUGGAAGAAGACCACUGGGCUGGUGUAUUGCCUUUGAAAGCCAGAGACACAAUACACUGGCCUUAGAAAGAAGAGAAUCCAGACAACAGGACCUGGGGGCCAUGCGACCAUCAUUACUCUGCUUCUCCAAUGGGGGUACGGGCAGGCCCAGCUGGACUUUAAUUAGAGAGAUCCAGUGUUCUGCAGCAGAAGGUUGGGUGAGGGAUACUUUACUGCAUGCUGGUUCUUCAAAUCUAGACCCUUCACGGAGCCAUUCUGGGCCCUCAGCACCUUGCCCAGCCUCAGCAACCUCUCCUCCACUCAUCAGACCCCUCUCCUGUGCUGCCCUUCACAAAGGCCUCAGUGUGUUCCCUGGCACCGACUCCUUAGGCUUCAAUCUCAGGCCACCGGUUUUUCUGCAAACCAGCUCAUUUCCUGCAAAGAGAGGGACAGGCAGGGAGAAGCACAUUAGCAUCUGCUCUGGGUAUCCUUCAAGCUUUCCUGGCUGGCCUCGGGCUCCACACCUUCUCCACACGUUCCUUCCUGCAGCACACUCCCCUCCCCUCCCUGGGAACACCAUGUUCUGUUGGGUGGGCGCCCCCACUCUUGCAGGCCUGUAGGCUCUGCCCACGCCGCCUCCUCCCGCUCCCGGCGCCCUGCCAGUCUCCGAUUGACCACUGCCUCCAAUUCCCUGAAGGCACUGGGCUUCUUCCCACUCCGGAGCCAGCGAGGCCUCCACUUCUGUAGCAUGGGGUUGCCUAGCAACGGUGCGCGCGGGCUCAGAAGGCCCUCCUAAAUUGGACCUCACAGCACAGGGCAUCUCCUUGUACAGCUGCCUGCAUCUUAACAAUCUGCCUCUGAAUAAUAACACAAUGGUAAUUGCAUUCAUGGACCCCAAACUACAUUUAAAUAAUGUUCAAGAGCUGACACAAACCAACAAAGGCCAGAAAAUGCAUCGGGGAGGUUGACUGCGAGGCCACGCAGGGACGCUCCGCUGUGGGAGGGAGUUGACACCAAAGACUUGAGUUAAUGACAACGCUAACCUGAACUGUGAAUUCUCCUGCCUUGUGCCCGAGCAUGUCACUGCUGUAAUGCAUUGUAAUGUAAGUUUGGACAAUUAAUGCGAGCAGGUAGGGAUGCCUCAAGACGGGGUGCCCUCUGCUUCUUCUGACUUGUACCUCAAUUUUUGGGGGGAACAGGGGAGGGAAGAUUUCAGAGGAAAAGAAGCCUGAAAGUGAAU